rnacentral:lncRNA from 1 species
GUUUCAAAGCAGACAUUGGGGUUAUUACAAAUUGAUCAACCUUUUUGGGCCUUUGAUUAGUCAACAGGUAUUUAAUGAGUCCUUCCAGUGCCUUCGUUUUCAACAAUCCUCAAGGUAAGAAAUAAUCUAGGCCUUCAAGGCCCACCAUUAAUUCAAAAUAUCAAGACUCUCACACAUGAAACUGCAUACAGAGAGAGUUAAAAGAGACUAGGAUUGCAGCUAUUCAAAGAAAAUGAAUAGGAAAUGUGAUUUACUGAGCAUCUAGGGUUUGGUGUCUGCUAGGUUACCUUCCAAUUCUUCAGUUCCGUAAAUAUUUGUUGAGUACCUAUGCUAACCAUUUUAAUGACUUUAUGUCAUCUGACCUUG